UCCAUCUGUCCCUGGUUAGGUGCCUGAAGG
rnacentral:piRNA from 1 species